GACGAACGCUGGCGGCGUGCUUAACACAUGCAAGUCGAGCGGUAAGGCCUUUCGGGGUACACGAGCGGCGAACGGGUGAGUAACACGUGGGUGAUCUGCCCUGCACUUCGGGAUAAGCCUGGGAAACUGGGUCUAAUACCGGAUAUGACCUCCUAUCGCAUGGUGGGUGGUGGAAAGAUUUAUCGGUGCAGGAUGGGCCCGCGGCCUAUCAGCUUGUUGGUGGGGUAAUGGCCUACCAAGGCGACGACGGGUAGCCGACCUGAGAGGGUGACCGGCCACACUGGGACUGAGACACGGCCCAGACUCCUACGGGAGGCAGCAGUGGGGAAUAUUGCCCAAUGGGCGAAAGCCUGAUGCAGCGACGCCGCGUGAGGGAUGACGGCCUUCGGGUUGUAAACCUCUUUCAGCAGGGACGAAGCGCAAGUGACGGUACCUGCAGAAGAAGCACCGGCUAACUACGUG
rnacentral:rRNA from 1 species